GGGGCGGUGGCGGAAUUGGCAGACGCAGCGGACUUAAAAUCCGCCGGGCCCAAGCCCUUGUGGGUUCGAGUCCCACCCGCCCUA
rnacentral:tRNA from 3 species